rnacentral:rRNA from 1 species
UCCUGGCUCAGGAUGAACGCUGGCGGCGUGCCUAACACAUGCAAGUCGAGCGAUUCACUUCGGUGAAGAGCGGCGGACGGGUGAGUAACGCGUGGGUAACCUGCCUCAUACACAUGGAUAACAUACCGAAAGGUAUGCUAAUACAGGAUAAUAUAAGAGAUUCACAUGUAUUUCUUAUCAAAGCUCCGGCGGUAUGAGAUGGACCCGCGUCUGAUUAGUUAGUUGGUAAGGUAACGGCUUACCAAGGCGACGAUCAGUAGCCGACCUGAGAGGGUGAUCGGCCACAUUGGAACUGAGACACGGUCCAAACUCCUACGGGAGGCAGCAGUGGGGAAUAUUGCACAAUGGGCGAAAGCCUGAUGCAGCAACGCCGCGUGAGUGAUGAAGGCCUUCGGGUCGUAAAACUCUGUCCUCAAGGAAGAUAAUGACGGUACUUGAGGAGGAAGCCCCGGCUAACUACGUGCCAGCCGCCGC